rnacentral:rRNA from 1 species
AGAGUUUGAUCCUGGCUCAGGACGAACGCUGGCGGCGCGCCUAACACAUGCAAGUCGAACGAGCGAGAGAGAGCUUGCUUUCUCGAGCGAGUGGCGAACGGGUGAGUAACGCGUGAGGAACCUGCCUCAAAGAGGGGGACAACAGUUGGAAACGACUGCUAAUACCGCAUAAGCCCACGGCUCGGCAUCGAGCAGAGGGAAAAGGAGCAAUCCGCUUUGAGAUGGCCUCGCGUCCGAUUAGCUAGUUGGUGAGGUAACGGCCCACCAAGGCGACGAUCGGUAGCCGGACUGAGAGGUUGAACGGCCACAUUGGGACUGAGACACGGCCCAGACUCCUACGGGAGGCAGCUGUGGGGAAUAUUGCACAAUGGGGGAAACCCUGAUGCAGCGACGCCGCGUGGAGGAAGAAGGUCUUCGGAUUGUAAACUCCUGUUGUUGAGGAAGAUAAUGACGGUACUCAACAAGGAAGUGACGGCUAACUACGUGCCAGCAGCCGCGGUAAAACGUAGGUCACAAGCGUUGUCCGGAAUUACUGGGUGUAAAGGGAGCGCAGGCGGGAAGACAAGUUGGAAGUGAAAUCCAUGGGCUUAACCCAUGAACUGCUUUCAAAACUGUUUUUCUUGAGUAGUGCAGAGGUAGGCGGAAUUCCCGGUGUAGCGGUGGAAUGCGUAGAUAUCGGGAGGAACACCAGUGGCGAAGGCGGCCUACUGGGCACCAACUGACGCUGAGGCUCGAAAGUGUGGGUAGCAAACAGGAUUAGAUACCCUGGUAGUCCACACUGUAAACGAUGAUUACUAGGUGUUGGAGGAUUGACCCCUUCAGUGCCUCAGUUAACACAAUAAGUAAUCCACCUGGGGAGUACGACCGCAAGGUUGAAACUCAAAGGAAUUGACGGGGGCCCGCACAAGCAGUGGAGUAUGUGGUUUAAUUCGACGCAACGCGAAGAACCUUACCAAGUCUUGACAUCCUGCGACGCACAUAGAAAUAUGUGUUUCCUUCGGGACGCAGAGACAGGUGGUGCAUGGUUGUCGUCAGCUCGUGUCGUGAGAUGUUGGGUUAAGUCCCGCAACGAGCGCAACCCUUAUGGUCAGUUACUACGCAAGAGGACUCUGGCCAGACUGCCGUUGACAAAACGGAGGAAGGUGGGGAUGACGUCAAAUCAUCAUGCCCUUUAUGACUUGGGCUACACACGUACUACAAUGGCGUUAAACAAAGAGAAGCAAGACCGCGAGGUGGAGCAAAACUCAGAAACAACGUCCCAGUUCGGACUGCAGGCUGCAACUCGCCUGCACGAAG